GACGCCGUGACGCCGGGCCGGUGUCUGUCCGUCUGUGUGUGUGUGUGUGUGUGUGUGUGUGUGUGUGAGUGUGAGUGUGCGGGCUCUGCGUGUUUGUAUGUGUGUCCGCCCGGCAGGUCCCGGAUGUUGCGGACAGUAUGAGGUGAGCGCACGGGGACGGGGACCAGCAGCUGUCGCGGCCGCUCUCAGAUGGGGGAGACUGAAGCAAAAAGAGAUAAAGUCAUCUGCCCUGGAUCACACAAGUCUUUGACAGAGUUGGGAAGAUGUUACAGAUGUCCUGAAUUCCAGUUCCUCGCUAUAACCUCUACACUGUGGUUCCUCCAUGUAAAUUCUUAGGAAGAAACUGAGGCCCAAGGAGUCUAAGACUUGAAGUUAGUAAGUAUCAGUGG